GUGGGGAAUCUUCCGCAAUGGACGAAAGUCUGACGGAGCAACGCCGCGUGAACGAUGACGGCCUUCGGGUUGUAAAGUUCUGUUAUACGGGACGAAUGGUACGACGGUCAAUACCCGUCGUAAGUGACGGUACCGUAAGAGAAAGCCACGGCUAACUACGUGCCAGCAGCCGCGGUAAUACGUAGGUGGCAAGCGUUGUCCGGAAUUAUUGGGCGUCAAGGGCGCGCAGGCGGCGGCGUAAGUCGGUCUUAAAAGUGCGGGGCUUAACCCCGGAAGGGGACCGAAACUGCGAUGCUAGAGUAUCGGAGAGGAAAGCGGAAUUCCAAGUGUAGCGGUGAAAUGCGUAGAGAGUUGGAAGAACACCAGUGGCGAAGGCGACUUUCUGGACGAUGUCUGACGCUGAGGCGCGAAAGCUAGGGGAGCGAACGGGAUUAGAUACCCCGGUAGUCC
rnacentral:rRNA from 1 species